GACGAACGCUGGCGGCGUGCUUAACACAUGCAAGUCGAACGGAAAGGCCCUGCUUUUGUGGGGUGCUCGAGUGGCGAACGGGUGAGUAACACGUGAGUAACCUGCCCUUGACUUUGGGAUAACUUCAGGAAACUGGGGCUAAUACCGGAUAGGAGCUCCUGCUGCAUGGUGGGGGUUGGAAAGUUUCGGCGGUUGGGGAUGGACUCGCGGCUUAUCAGCUUGUUGGUGGGGUAGUGGCUUACCCAGGCUUUGACGGGUAGCCGGCCUGAGAGGGUGACCGGCCACAUUGGGACUGAGAUACGGCCCAGACUCCUACGGGAGGCAGCAGUGGGGAAUAUUGCACAAUGGGCGGAAGCCUGAUGCAGCAACGCCGCGUGCGGGAUGACGGCCUUCGGGUUGUAAACCGCUUUCGCCUGUGACGAAGCGUGAGUGACGGUAAUGGGUAAAGAAGCACCGGCUAACUACGUG
rnacentral:rRNA from 1 species